GCCUAGUUAGCUUAGUUGGUAGUGCGUCUGCCUUGUAAGCGCUAGACCGCGGGUUCGAUCCCCGCCCGGGGCG
rnacentral:tRNA from 1 species